rnacentral:rRNA from 1 species
GACGAACGCUGGCGGCGUGCUUAACACAUGCAAGUCGAACGGACAGGCCCUGCUUUUGUUGGGUGCUCGUGUGGCGAGCGCGUGAGUAACACGUGAGUAACCUGCCCUUGACUUUGGGAUAACUCUACGAGACUGGGGCUAAUACCGGGUAUGAGCUCCUGCUGCAUGGUGGUGGUUGGAAAGUUUCGGCGGUUGGGGAUGGACUCGCGGCUUAUGAGCUUGUUGGUGGAGUAGUGGCUUACCAAGGGUUUGACGGGUAGCCGGCAUGAGAGGGUGACCGGCCACAUUGGGACUGAGAGAGGGCCCAGAAGCCUACGGGCGGCAGCAGGGGAGAAUAUUGCACAGUGGGCGGGAGCCUGAGGCAGCAACGCCGGGUGCGGGAUGACGGCCUUCGGGUUGUAAACCGAUUUGGACUGUGACGAAGAGAGAGUGACGGUAAUGGGUAAAAAAGCAACGGCUAACUACGUG